GUGGGGAAUCUUGCGCAAUGGGCGAAAGCCUGACGCAGCCAUGCCGCGUGAAUGAUGAAGGUCUUAGGAUUGUAAAAUUCUUUCACCGGGGACGAUAAUGACGGUACCCGGAGAAGAAGCUCCGGCUAACUUCGUGCCAGCAGCCGCGGUAAUACGAAGGGGGCUAGCGUUGCUCGGAAUUACUGGGCGUAAAGGGCGCGUAGGCGGACAGCUUAGUCAGAGGUGAAAGCCCAGGGCUCAACCUUGGAAUUGCCUUUGAUACUGGCUGUCUUGAGUUUGGGAGAGGUGAGUGGAACUCCGAGUGUAGAGGUGAAAUUCGUAGAUAUUCGGAAGAACACCAGUGGCGAAGGCGACUCACUGGCCCAAUACUGACGCUGAGGCGCGAAAGCGUGGGGAGCAAACAGGAUUAGAAACCUGGUAGUCC
rnacentral:rRNA from 1 species